CGACUCAUAAGCUUGAAUGGAUUCUCCUUUCAUCUCACCUACACACUAAACACACUUUUGAGGUCUUUCAGGUUAUAACGGGGUUUGGGUUAAGGUGGGAUACGGAUGGGAUAGAAAACGUCUUUUGGGUUCAGAUUCGAUGUUAUUAUUCUUUUCAUUGUGUUUAUUCUAAAGUACCAUUGGCAUUUCUCUUCUUUUUUUUCAGCUCAGCUACUCAGUUCUUUUUCUUUUUGUCUUUGAGUUUGUAUCCAACUAAGUCUUUUCCUCUGGUGAGUGAUUUUCUU
rnacentral:lncRNA from 1 species